CUGCAUGUAUACAUCUGUAGCAAGAUUGGAGAAAAUUUCCUCAAUUAUUCCCUCAAAUAUGUUUUUCAAACUUCUUACUUUUUCUUCUCCCUUGCUUCACAUAAUCCAUAUAUCUCAAACAAUUUGUUCAGUAUUUUAAAUUCUUUUUUUGUCUAAGUGGGUUAAUUUGAAAAUUUCCAGGUUUUCUGGUUAGUUUUUUAAAAAUACAUCUAUCUCAUCUGUCAUCUCUUGAAUUGUUUUUCUGUGUGUGUGUGUGUGUGUGUGUGUGUCGAUUUCCAACUUUCUCUGUGUUCUCAUUGAGCUUCCUUAUAACACACAUCUUGAAUUCUCUAUCUGUCAUUUCAAAGUUUUUAUUUUGGUUAGAAUCU
rnacentral:lncRNA from 10 species